GUCACUCUAUCAGCUGUUCUCCUUAAUCGAACAGCUAAGACGAUAGAGUGCCAAG
rnacentral:ncRNA from 1 species